AUACAACAAUAUGAAGACGAGAAGAUACGAGCUGCUAGAGACGAAGAGACAAAGCAUAACGAUGGUUUUCUCAGAGACACCGCUGCAAACGUUCAUGCCACGGAAUGGGAUACCUGUCAUUUGCCUACACGUCAUACAUUGGUUAUGUUUCACUGUGAAUUUUGAGUAAACUUUUGUACUUUUUGCUAAGAUUUCUCCACUUUUGUGUAACAUUAAUUUGAUUUGUAAAAGUUACCAAGGUUUACUGAUUUAAAUUAAAUUCUAACAGUUUGAAAAGCUGUUUAAGCAAAAUCCAGUAGUAAAAUAAGUUUUACAUUAGGAGGGGAAAAUGGCGGUAAGAAGUGUUUAGCGUGAGCUCCCGUUUUUUGUUUACUAUAUAGUGGUGUUUUUACAAUUUAUCUCUGCUAAAUUCGACACCUGUUAUUUUGUUAGUCUAUCUUUACAGUGUAGCCUCCUUUUUCGUGUAUGAUGGCGUCCAGUUUGAGAAAAUAUAAAUAUAUGGGAUCUGCAGCCGGUAGGCCUGAUGCUACCUGCGAUCAGAGUUAUGCUAAAGACUCUGCACCACCAUUAUCAAAGUCGACCGAGAUGGAUUUCUCGAUGCUGAAAACAGACAUUCUAGAGUCAAUAAAAUCCAGUAUUUCAGAGGUAAUAAAAGCCGAAAUGAAGGAUUUGCUGGCGGAAGACCUUGGAUUUAUUAGAGGCGAGCUACAGGUGGUGCGGGCAGAAGUGGCAAGUGGCGCCACAGCCCUUCGGGCUGAUUUAGACCAGGUAAAAGUUCGAUUCAAAGACGUGGAGGACGGCUUGUCAACCUGGUCAGAGGAGGUGGUUUCUCUGCGCAGUGCUGUGACUGAGAUGAAAGCCGAGUUAAAUGAUCUU